UACAGAGGUCUCAAGCGUUGUUCGGAUUCAUUGGGCGUAAAGGGCUCGUAGGCGGCCAACUAAGUCAGACGUGAAAUCCCUCGGCUUAACCGGGGAACUGCAUCUGAUACUGGAUGGCUUGAGUUUGGGAGAGGGAUGCGGAAUUCCAGGUGUAGCGGUGAAAUGCGUAGAUAUCUGGAGGAACACCGGUGGCGAAGGCGGCAUCCUGGACCAACACUGACGCUGAGGAGCGAAAGCCAGGGGAGCAAACGGG
rnacentral:rRNA from 1 species